rnacentral:rRNA from 1 species
UGGGGAAUCUUGCGCAAUGGGCGAAAGCCUGACGCAGCAACGCCGCGUGGGGGACGAAGGCUCUCGGGUUGUAAACCCCUUUCAGCAGGAACGAAAUUGACGGUACCUGCAGAAGAAGCCCCGGCCAACUACGUGCCAGCAGCCGCGGUAAUACGUAGGGGGCGAGCGUUGUCCGGAUUCAUUGGGCGUAAAGAGCUCGUAGGCGGUUUCGUAAGUCGGGUGUGAAAACCCCAGGCUCAACCUGGGGACGCCACCUGAUACUGCGAUGACUUGAGUCUGGUAGGGGAUCACGGAAUUCCUGGUGUAGCGGUGAAAUGCGCAGAUAUCAGGAGGAACACCGGUGGCGAAGGCGGUGAUCUGGGCCAGUACUGACGCUGAGGAGCGAAAGCGUGGGUAGCAAACAGG